AUAUUCUGGUGUCCUAGGCG
rnacentral:siRNA from 1 species